rnacentral:tRNA from 1 species
GCCAGUGUGGCUCAAUGGAUAGAGCGUCCGCCUGAGGACGGAAGGGUCCCAGGUUCGAUUCCGGUCAGGGGCA